rnacentral:lncRNA from 1 species
AUGCUCCAUAUUGCUCCAAGUACAGGGCGAGGAGGAGGAGUAGCGGCCAUUUUUCAUUCAGACCUAUUAAUCAAUCCCUUACCAAUUAAUAGUUACAGUUCUUUUGAACAUCUUAUUCUUAGUUCUCCUGAUCCAGAUUGCAAAACUGUAAAACCACUCUUGUUUGUAGUUUUAUAUCGUCCACCAGGCCCUUACUCUGAGUUUUUGGAUCAGAUCUCUGAUUUUUUAUCUGAUUUGGUGCUAAAUACUGAUAAGGUCAUUGUAGUGGGGGAUUUUAACAUUCAUGUGGACAUUGAAAAUGAUAGCCUCAAUGUAGCCUUUAGUAAUAUCUUAGACUCAAUUGGUUUUACUCAAAGAAUACAUAGCUCCACCCACUCCUGCCAUCAUAGAUUGGACGUUGUGCUGACUUAUGGCAUAGAGUGUGAGGAAAUAACGAUCUUUUCACAUAAUCCAGUCCUCUCGGACCACUUUUUGAUAACCUUUGAGUUUUUUAUAACUGAGUUCUCGAGACAUGAAAGUAAAUUUCACUAUAGUCUCUAUCUAUCUGACAACGCUGUUGCAUCUUUUAAAUCAACUGUUCCAUCUUUACUGUCCUCAGCAUCUCAGAGGCAUGUAGCAGAGGGCAAUAUUUUCAGUUCUAGCCCCUCACAAAUUGAUGCUUUAGUUCAUAAUGUUACUUCUUCUUUACGUGUGGCAUUAGAUGAUGUUGCCCCUUUAAAAAAGAAGGUAAUUAGGCACUGGAAGUUGGCCCCCUGGUUUAAUUCUCAUUUACAAACAUUAAAACAAAACUCUAGAAAAUUGGAGAGAACAUGGCAUCCUACACACAAGGAGGAGUCCUACUUUUCCUGGAAAAAUAGUCUUGUGCUUUAUAAAAAUAAACUUCGACAAGCUAGAACUGCUUAUUUUUCAUCGCUAAUUGAGGAGAAUAAGAAUAAUACAAAAUUUAUUUUCAGUACAGUUGCCAAACUUACAGAGAAUCAUAGCUAUGAACCAUCUAUUCCCUUAGCCCUCAGCAGCAACGACUUUACGGGAUUUUUCACGAGUAAAAUUAAUUCUAUUCUAGUUUAUUUCAGUCAAUCAAUCAAUCAAUCAAUCAAUCAAAGCUUUAUUCAUAAAGCGCCUUCCGCGAUCCUGUCGGGAAGCCCAAGGCGCUGA